UACGUAGGGUGCAAGCGUUGUCCGGAAUUAUUGGGCGUAAAGAGCUCGUAGGCGGUCUGUCGCGUCGGCUGUGAAAACCCGGAGCUCAACUCCGGGCCUGCAGUCGAUACGGGCAGACUGGAGUUCGGCAGGGGAGACUGGAAUUCCUGGUGUAGCGGUGAAAUGCGCAGAUAUCAGGAGGAACACCGAUGGCGAAGGCAGGUCUCUGGGCCACUACUGACGCUGAGAAGCGAAAGCAUGGGGAGCGAACAGG
rnacentral:rRNA from 1 species